UACGGGAGGCAGCAGUGGGGAAUAUUGCACAAUGGGCACAAGCCUGAUGCAGCCAUGCCGCGUGUAUGAAGAAGGCCUUCGGGUUGUAAAGUACUUUCAGUCGUGAGGAAGGUGUUAAGGUUAAUAACCUUAGCAAUUGACGUUAGCGACAGAAGAAGCACCGGCUAACUCCGUGCCAGCAGCCGCGGUAAUACGGAGGGUGCGAGCGUUAAUCGGAAUUACUGGGCGUAAAGGGCACGCAGGCGGUUAAUUAAGUUGGAUGUGAAAUCCCCGGGCUUAACCUGGGAAUGGCAUUCAAGACUGGUUAGCUAGAGUCUUGUAGAGGGGGUAGAAUUCCAUGUGUAGCGGUGAAAUGCGUAGAGAUGUGGAGGAAUACCGGUGGCGAAGGCGGCCCCUGGGACAAAGACUGACGCUCAUGUGCGAAAGCGUGGGGAGCAAACAGGAUUAGAUACC
rnacentral:rRNA from 1 species